rnacentral:rRNA from 1 species
GAUGAACGCUAGCGGGAGGCCUAACACAUGCAAGCCGAGCGGUAUUGUUUCUUCGGAAAUGAGAGAGCGGCGUACGGGUGCGGAACACGUGUGCAACCUGCCUUUAUCUGGGGGAUAGCCUCUCGAAAGGAAGAUUAAUACUCCAUAAUAUAUUGAACGGCAUCGUUUGAUAUUGAAAGCUCCGGCGGAUAGAGAUGGGCACGCGCAAGAUUAGCUAGUUGGUGAGGUAACGGCUCACCAAGGCAAUGAUCUUUAGGGGGCCUGAGAGGGUGAUCCCCCACACGGGUACUGGGACACGGACCAGACUCCUGCGGGAGGCAGCAGUGAGGAAUAUUGGUCAAUGGGUGCAAGCCUGAACCAGCCAUCCCGCGUGAAGGACGACUGCCCUAUGGGUUGUAAACUUCUUUUGUAUAGGGAUAAACCUACCCUCGUGAGGGUAGCUGAAGGUACUAUACGAAUAAGCACCGGCUAACUCCGUGCCAGCCGCCGCAGUAAAAC